AGUGAACGCUGGCGGUAGACCUAACACAUGCAAGUCGAACGGCAGCACAGUAAGAGCUUGCUCUUACGGGUGGCGAGUGGCGGACGGGUGAGGAAUACAUCGGAAUCUACUUUUUCGUGGGGGAUAACGUAGGGAAACUUACGCUAAUACCGCAUACGACCUACGGGUGAAAGCAGGGGAUCUUCGGACCUUGCGCGAUUGAAUGAGCCGAUAUCGGAUUAGCUAGUUGGCGGGGUAAAGGCCCACCAAGGCGACGAUCCGUAGCUGGUCUGAGAGGAUGAUCAGCCACACUGGAACUGAGACACGGUCCAGACUCCUACGGGAGGCAGCGGUGGGGAAUAUUGAACAAUGGGCGCAAGCCUGAUCCAGCCAUACCGCGUGGGUGAAGAAGGCCUUCGGGUUGUAAAACCCUUUUGUUGAGAAAGAAAAGCAGCAGGUUAAAACCCCGCUGUUCUGACGGUACCCAAAGAAUAAGCACCGGCUAACUUCGUG
rnacentral:rRNA from 1 species